rnacentral:rRNA from 1 species
GACGAACGCUGGCGGCGUGCUUAACACAUGCAAGUCGAGCGGUAAGGCCCUUUCGGGGGUACACGAGCGGCGAACGGGUGAGUAACACGUGGGUGACCUGCCCUCAGCUCUGGGAUAAGCCUGGGAAACCGGGUCUAAUACUGGAUAUGACUCCAUGACGCAUGUUGUGGGGUGGAAAGCCUUGUGCGGCUGAGGAUGGGCCCGCGGCCUAUCAGCUUGUUGGUGGGGUGANGGCCUACCAAGGCGACGACGGGUAGCCGGCCUGAGAGGCGACCGGCCACACUGGGACUGAGACACGGCCCAGACUCCUACGGGAGGCAGCAGUGGGGAAUCUUGCGCAAUGGGCGAAAGCCUGACGCAGCGACGCCGCGUGAGGGAUGACGGCCUGG